ACGGGAGGCAGCAGUGGGGAAUAUUGCACAAUGGGGGAAACCCUGAUGCAGCGACGCCGCGUGAGUGAUGAAGUAUUUCGGUAUGUAAAGCUCUAUCAGCAGGGAAGAUAAUGACGGUACCUGACUAAGAAGCACCGGCUAAAUACGUGCCAGCAGCCGCGGUAAUACGUAUGGUGCAAGCGUUAUCCGGAUUUACUGGGUGUAAAGGGUGCGUAGGUGGUAUGGCAAGUCAGAAGUGAAAACACGGGGCUCAACCCCGUGACUGCUUUUGAAACUGUCAAACUAGAGUGCAGGAGAGGAAAGCGGAAUUCCUAGUGUAGCGGUGAAAUGCGUAGAUAUUAGGAGGAACACCAGUGGCGAAGGCGGCUUUCUGGACUGUAACUGACACUGAGGCACGAAAGCGUGGGGAGCAAACAGGAUUAGAUACCCUGGUA
rnacentral:rRNA from 2 species